rnacentral:rRNA from 1 species
AUUGAACGCUGGCGGCAUGCUUUACACAUGCAAGUCGAACGGCAGCGCGGGCUUCGGCCUGGCGGCGAGUGGCGAACGGGUGAGUAAUGCAUCGGAACGUGCCCAGUAGUGGGGGAUAGCCCGGCGAAAGCCGGAUUAAUACCGCAUACGACCUGAGGGUGAAAGCGGGGGACCGAAAGGCCUCGCGCUAUUGGAGCGGCCGAUGUCGGAUUAGCUAGUUGGUGGGGUAAAGGCUUACCAAGGCGACGAUCCGUAGCUGGUCUGAGAGGACGACCAGCCACACUGGGACUGAGACACGGCCCAGACUCCUACGGGAGGCAGCAGUGGGGAAUUUUGGACAAUGGGGGCAACCCUGAUCCAGCCAUGCCGCGUGCGGGAAGAAGGCCUUCGGGUUGUAAACCGCUUUUGUUCGGGAAGAAAUCCUCUGGGCUAAUACCCCGGGGGGAUGACGGUACCGGCAGAAUAAGCACCGGCUAACUACGUG